rnacentral:tRNA from 1 species
GCCUUUGUGGUGUAAUGGUUAACAUACUUGGUGCGUAUUUAAGAGGUCCGAGGUUCGAGUCCCGGUGAGCGCA